rnacentral:rRNA from 1 species
GACGAACGCUGGCGGCGUGCCUAAUACAUGCAAGUUGAGCGCUGAAGGUUGGUACUUGUACCAACUGGAUGAGCAGCGAACGGGUGAGUAACGCGUGGGGAAUCUGCCUUUGAGCGGGGGACAACAUUUGGAAACGAAUGCUAAUACCGCAUAAAAACUUUAAACACAAGUUUUAAGUUUGAAAGAUGCAAUUGCAUCACUCAAAGAUGAUCCCGCGUUGUAUUAGCUAGUUGGUGAGGUAAAGGCUCACCAAGGCGAUGAUACAUAGCCGACCUGGGAGGGUGAUCGGCCACAUUGGGACUGAGACACGGCCCAAACGCCUACGGGAGGCAGCAGUAGGGAAUCUUCGGCAAUGGACGAAAGUCUGACCGAGCAACGCCGCGUGAGUGAAGAAGGUUUUCGGAUCGUAAAACUCUGUUGGUAGAGAAGAACGUUGGUGAGAGUGGAAAGCUCAUCAAGUGACGGUAACUACCCAGAAAGGGACGGCUAACUACGUG